GUGCUCACUUCGGCAGCACAUACACUAAAACUGGAAUGAUACAGAAAAGAUUAGCAUGGCCCAUGCACAAGAAUGAUAANAGAGAAGAUUAGCAUGGCCCAUGCGCAAGAAUGAUACGCAAAUUUGUGAAGUGUUACAUAUUUUU
rnacentral:snRNA from 1 species